rnacentral:rRNA from 1 species
UACGGAGGGUGCAAGCGUUAUCCGGAUUUACUGGGUUUAAAGGGUGCGUAGGUGGGUAGGUAAGUCAGUGGUGAAAUCUUCGAGCUUAACUCGGAAACUGCCAUUGAUACUAUUUAUCUUGAAUACUCUGGGAGUAAGCGGAAUAUGUCAUGUAGCGGUGAAAUGCUUAGAUAUGACAUAGAACACCAAUUGCGAAGGCAGCUUACUACAUAGUUAUUGACACUGAGGCACGAAAGCGUGGGGAUCAAACAGG